rnacentral:rRNA from 1 species
CCUACGGGGGGCAGCAGUAACGAAUAUUCCGCAAUGAGCGAAAGCUUGACGGAGCAAUGCCGCGUGUAGGAUGAAUCUUUUCGGAGUGUAAACUACUGUCAGAGACUAGGAACUCAAUGACCAAUCUCAAAGGAAGGGCCGGCUAACUUCGUGCCAGCAGCCGCGGUAAUACGAAGGGCCCGAGCGUUAUUCGGAAUCACUGGGCUUAAAGCGUACGUAGGCUGGUAUAUAGGCAUUUUGUGAAAUCCCUCGGCUCAACCGAGGAACUGCAGAGUGAACCAUAUAUCUUGAGACAGACAGAGGUCGUCGGAACGAUUGGUGGAGUGGUGAAAUGCGUUGAUAUCAAUCGGAACGCCGAAGGAGAAGUCAGGCGACUGGGUCUGUUCUGACGCUGAGGUACGAAAGCGUGGGUAGCGAACGGGAUUAGAUACCCUUGUAGUC